CCCCGGGUCACGUGUGUUGCAUUCAUAAAUAGCCUGUUGCCAGUAUCUAGUUAAUGACCAUGCCAAGAUCAAAGGGAGAAAAUGUUGAUAGGUCAGGAUAAAAACCACCCUGAAUCAGUAGUGUUCCACCUGACUCUUUAUACUGAGUCACUCGUGGCAUAAAUUAUCUAAUGCAAAAUGCAAGUUAUUAUGUACUAUUCUUCUUACGAUAAGAAUAUUUUUUCAAGUUUGACAGUCAUACAUAUAUACGCAUAAAAGAGUAAUAUAAGAUAAACCAAAUGCUGCUGACGAUCUGAUAUGACGAGAAGCUGAAGGAAUAACGAAAAGUACCCUUUCCAGUUUUUAUUUUUCUUUUAGGAAAAUGAAAGAAUAUCCUGUUCUCGACAGAUUGGGGUUAGAUUUGAAUUUAUUGAAUAAUUUAAUGGACACAAUAUGUGAACUGCUGUCUAAAAAGGUAAUGAUUAUAAUAUCUUGAUAAAAUAACAAUCUCGCUAGUAGAAAAACAAAAAUAGUCCUAUUGAAGUUGUUUUUCUUCUUUAUCGAUUAUAACGUAAUCUUCGAUCCAAACUCCUAAAUGUUGAACUCUAUUCAAGUAGUCUAUAAAUAUGAUAAGGUCCGUUUUUGCUAUGAGCUCUUUGAUUUAGACGCUGUGAAAAUUUUGAAAUCUUCAAGAAUAAAGACUCCCUUAAUAAUAGAAAUAAAAGUUCCAUCGAAAGAGACGAAAUAUUUUAACUGCAUUUUAAUGUGGGAAAAUACCGCAAUCUAGUUAUCUUAUUUCGCUGUAUCAACUUACAGUUGUGAAAUCAGUGAUUGAUUGUAUCGCCGCUCAUGUUGUAAAAUUUAUUCUAAUUGCUUAGAAACAAAUCGAUGCAAUAAUCAUACAAAAAUGUCAACAAUUUCUCAUAACUCAUCCAACUUGCGUUCGCUUACAAUUAGUUAGAAAAUUCUUUUAUCUAUUAAAUAUUCUAGGAAGUACUAAACUUUGAAUAUUUCAUAUAUAUUUGCAAAUUGUUUAUAGUUUGCGAAUAUUUACAUCUUCAAUUAUUCUAUAAAUGUAUAAACGUUCGCAGUCUCAUCAUUAUCUAUGUAAUACCAUUAAAAGCUACAGCUGUGCCAAUGAAUUGCUUAUGUGGGACCAAAUUUGUUUUCAUGCCAUCCGUUCUCUGUUUCCUUUCUAUUGCGUAUCUUCUUUUAUGCUGUUAAUUAUAUAAUCUUCCAAGGUGAAUACCAAUCAGCUGCUAUAGCUUGGUUCUUACCGAUUCGUCCUUCCUCUUCUCGAUAAAUCUUACAUCACACUUAUUUGCGAAAAAAUACUAUUUGAUAAGAGUGUACGUGCGGUCGAAGUAGUCGAUUCGUUUCGUGUUUUUAUAUUUACGGAUUGAAUUAUAAAUAUAUUGAAAAGAAAACUUUACAAUACAGGUAAAAGAUAAGGAUUUGUACUGAACAUUAAAUGGUCAAGUAUUUGUGUAAUUUUUUAAAAGUAACAUUGUUGGGACCCGAAUUGGCUAACGUAGUAUAAGCCAUAUGUUAACCAAAAAGGGGUGAGUGAACUAGGGGAGAAAGCAUGAUUUCCGAAUGUGAGAACAGCGUGCAACAAAGAACGUAUAGAUAACUUGGCUCGUGUACAAUUAUUAUUUCAAUAUACUAAAUACAUUUAUACUUUUUCUUUUACAAUUUUACGCUUGAUUGAUUAAUCUCAUCAGGUUAUGAGCCCAGAGUAGGUGUAAAAGAAGUAGAAAUAAAAGAGAAAACGAAAGAAAUGCCUUAACGGACAAUCGGGAGGGUAAUCACGUAUAACAAAAAGAUAAAAGAUCAGAGUUUCAAAAAGAGUAUUUCAAAAGAGAACAUGGAUUCAGCACAAUAUUUUUCCCAGUUAUACGCAGAGAAUUUCAAUAACUGGAAAUUUCGAGUUAAAUGCGUGUUGACUGAAAGACAGAGAGAUGAUAUGUUAUGCGUCGAAAUCCCGUCAUUCGCGCGGGAUAAAUAUAGAAGGAGUUUUAUAUUAAAAGACGCAAAAGCCAAGUCAAUAGUGGUGCAGUGUAUUAUGGACAAGCAUCUAUAUCUAAUGAAAGGUGCAUUCACUGCAAAAGAAAAGAUUUUGCAAAAUAUGUUUGAGAGGAAAAGCACGUUUUCAAAGUUGCAUUUAAGGAGGAAGCUAUUUUCAUUGAAGUAUGGACAAAAUGAAAAAUUUUUUCUUAAAAUUUGACACCAUCAUAAAGGAGAUGGAAAAUGUGGAAUCCAAAAUAGAUGAAUCUGAUAAAGUUUGUCAUCUACUGUAGACAAUGCCUGAAGACUAUAACACUAUGAUAACUGCUAUCGAGACAAUGAAUAAUAAAGAAGUCACUUUAAACUUUGUCAAAACUAGGCUGCUUAAUGAGGA